UACGUAGGAUGCGAGCGUUGUCCGGAAUUAUUGGGCGUAAAGAGCUCGUAGGCGGUCUGUCGCGUCUGCUGUGAAAACUCGGGGCUUAACCCCGGGCCUGCAGUGGGUACGGGCAGACUAGAGUGCGGUAGGGGAGACUGGAAUUCCUGGUGUAGCGGUGGAAUGCGCAGAUAUCAGGAAGAACACCGGUGGCGGAAGGCGGCUCUCUGGGCCUUACCUGACGCUGAGGAGCGAAAGCCGUGGGUAGCGAACAGG
rnacentral:rRNA from 1 species